rnacentral:rRNA from 1 species
CGUACUGUGAAGCAUCCUGUUAAGUCAGGCAACGAGCGAGACCCACGCCAACAGUUGCCAGCUCGUCCUCCGGGAUGGUGGGGACACUGUUGGGACCGCUCUGCUAAAGAGGAGGAAGGAAUGGGCACGGUAGGUCAGCAUGCCCCGAAUUAUCUGGGCUACACGCGGGCUACAAUGGGUGGGACAAUGGGUAUCGACACCGAAAGGUGAAGGCAAUCUCCUAAACCCAUCCGUAGUUCGGAUUGUGGGCUGCAACUCGCCCACAUGAAGCUGGAAUCUGUAGUAAUCGUGUCUCAAAAUGGCACGGUGAAUAUGUCCCUGCUCCUU